UACGGGGGGGGCAAGCGUUGUUCGGAAUUACUGGGCGUAAAGGGCGCGUAGGCGGCCCAGCAAGUCGGGAGUGAAAGCCCGGGGCUCAACCCCGGAACUGCUUUCGAAACUGCUGAGCUAGAGUACAGAAGGGGCAACCGGAAUUCCCAGUGUAGCGGUGAAAAGCGUAGAUAUUGGGAAGAACACCUGAGGCGAAGGCGGGUUGCUGGGCUGAUACUGACGCUGAGGCGCGAAAGACAGGGGAGCAAACGGG
rnacentral:rRNA from 1 species